GGUGAAUUCCUUCAGAUGUGAUUGCCCCCAAGGUUAUACAGGUCCAUUUUGCACGAUACCGGUUGACGUGUGCGAUUCAAGCCCAUGUACAAACAAUGGGACGUGUGAAGUGACGAACAUCCCUGACGCUGGGUACGUUUGCACAUGCGCAGCGGGAUUUACCGGAACCAAUUGUCGAACCAACAUUGACGACUGCCUAUAUGGAAAGUGUGCAGCCUUUGCGACUUGUCAGGACGGAAUCAACUCUUACGUAUGCAUUUGUCAGUCUGGUUUUACUGGCACGUUCUGCACGG